GAAUAACGACAGAAUGAUAGGGGCGGUUUACUAAAACCGUCGUCGCUAUUUUGUUUUCAUGAGUUUGCGACUGUUCAUUCUAAACCGUCGUCGUCAUAUCUGAAUAUUACGCGCUACCCUUUCCUUGUUCCCUCUUCUUUUUUUUUGCACUCACAAAUUUGGCUUCCAUUCACAAAUCGUUCGAUCCUUCAACAAUAAAUCAUUCUCAGAAAUCCUUCAUUUCAGAAUUGUUCAAUCGAGUUUCAGAAUCGUUCAACCCUAGUUUCAUUUCAACAAAGCUUCGAUUCAAUUUCUCAGAAAUCCUUCAUUUCAGCAUCAUUCAACUUGAAUUGUUCAAUUGAGUUUCAAAAUCGUUCAACCCUAGUUUCAACAAAGCUUCGAUUCAGUUUCUCAGAAAUCCUUCAUUUCAGCAUCGUUCAACUUCAGAGUUGUUCAAUUGAGUUUCAGUUAUCUCAUUCGGAAUCGUUCACGGUUCAUCACUCAUUUAACCUUCAAAUUCUUCGUUGGUAAUUAGACUUAGGUAUUUCAAACUUUCCGACGGCCGCAAUGUUGAGACAAAGCUAAUAUGAACAGAGCUAAUAUGAAAUGAUUAAUUCACACUGUAAUGAGCUUUUCAAUAUCACGAUUUUGGAGGAAGGUAGUGGAAUAAAGAAUCGUGUUGUUUGACAUAGAUCAAAGCUCGAACUUUACACAAAGUGUAACAGGAUCUCAUCUUGGGCCUGCGGUUUUACACGAACUGUUGUUCUUCAAUGAUUCUAUCCUGGUGUUACUGAUGCAUUAAAAUUUGCAAGUACAAGAGUGUACAAUGUACAUUGUCACCACAUAACAGGUCUGACUUCUCUCUCUGCUCCUACCAUGAAGACAAUAGUCCUAAUCCUAUGACAUGGCAUUAUUUAUACUUUUGCCAAUAAUUAGCAUCUGAUAAAAUUUAUGAAUGUGAAUUUUGUAAAUGUUAAUUACCAUUGCCAAUAAUUAGGAUAUGACACAAAUUCCUAAUUGGCAACAUCUGAUUUAUCAUAUCUCACACCCUGAAAUGAAACUAAAUUUGCAAUAGCUGGUCAUACUUGGUCUAUGUACUCAUUGAAGGAUUAGUAAUAGUAAUAGUGGAUAUGCAAUCACACAUGCUGCAUUAAAUUGUAGUACAUGAACACUAACUAGGAUUCUUUGUUUUGCAUAUGAUACUUUCUUUUGAGCUUCCAUUCACUUUAAUUUCACUCCUUAAGUUUAGCAGCGGUAGUACAAAGAUAGGACCUCGUAAGAAUUCAAUGACUUAUGCAGAGAAAGGAGUGCUUCAUUUUGGGUAAGCUGUUCUUUUUUACCUGACGCUAUUGUGCUAUUAAUUAGUCUGGCUUGAUCAUGAAUAAGGUUUGCUUGCUGCAUUUUGGUUUUACAGUACCGAAGUUUUCUGGUUUGGCAGGUUGUGAACAUGUUUGUUCUUUCUGAUUAAUAAAUUGAAAAAAGGAUAGGAUUAUUUGAAAUAGAAAUUGCAAACUGCUUCCUGCUAGAAGAAAUAGGAUUAUCUGAAAUACUUAGGCUUAAAAUGCUUAGGAUUGGUAUUUGAAAUUUAUAAGAGUUAGAUAUUUCUCUGAUAAAGAUGUAGCUUUAGAAUGAGCCAAAACCAACAUUGAAUAGGAAAAGGAAACUUCAUGUUAUGAACAAGCAUAGACUAACACAUGAUUACAUCAACCGACAUUACUAUAAGCUUUUGACGAAAAUUAGUAAUAUGACCAAAAUGCUCAAACAUGUUUGACUAAUUUCCUUCGGUGGCUAAUCUCUAAUGAGAAUAACAUCUUUAUAUGAGAAUGAUUGGAAAGUGAAAGUGUCGAAAUGCAAAGUGAAUUGUGAAUCGUUAAGGACCUUUUUCAACAACUUAGAAUAAUUCUACUAGAUGCAACUGUGUUUAAUAUUAAUAUUAUCAAUCUAGUACUUUUACUUAAACCUUUAAUUCCAAUCCAAUAUUCUUGUUCAGAUUCACAAAAGCUUGAACUAAGAACACCUUUCUGAUAGAUACCCUGUUCAUAAUGUUAGCUACACUUAUCCACACAUUGUAGUAACUGUUUGAGUUUCAAGAUGGCUUUGUGAAUAGCAUGGACAAUCACCUGAACGAAAAGACAGUUGGAAAGCAUCUAACCAAUGGUUUUGAGGAGAAAUAUGCAUUCCUCUUGACCAAGGUUUUUGUUUCUCAUAACUAUUUUUGCACAUGAAUGUGUGUCGAGUAUUGUAUCUUCUUUUGGUUUGAAAUAUUCAUAUGCUUACAUGUAACAUCUUUGGUUUCUAAUUCAUUGCAAUCCAUUUAUAUAAUUUGUUCUAUUCUUAGUUUUCAUGCUGGCAUUAAUUAACUACUAUUUUUGUUUCGGUAAUGAUGAAUUUGGAUGUCAUAUCCAAGGUAUUCUUAUGUUUAUGUUCAUGGGGCUGAUAAUUUAUAUACAGUGUAAAUUAUAUGUUCUUCAAUUUGAUAGUUUACAUGUAUCUUGAGUGCAGGCUCAACAGAGGACAUUUUUUAGACUAUAUACUAUCUUGAGUGUAAAUAAUUUGUUCUAUUCUAACUUUUCUCUUUUUGGAGUUUUGCAGAGAUGUCACUACCGCACUUUUCAAAACUUCACAGCCAUUACUAGUUUUGAACAACUCCACCGCGUAAGAGCGGUCAACACCAACUCUACUCAACCAUUUUUGAAUUGGAGUUUCUUAAUGAUUAAUACGUUUUGAUGAUUUGAUUUAUGUAGUGGUUUGGGGCAAAUUGACUUGUUUUAUUAUUGUUUAUAAAUAAGCACUUAUUUAUGCUAUAAGUGCUUAAUUAAGUUGUUUAAAAAAAAAAAGUUGUUUAUCCAAUCAAGGCCUUAGUAUCCUCUUGUUCCUUCA